rnacentral:RNase_P_RNA from 1 species
CAAGCCGACCGGGUGAUCGCGGUCCGGUUUUGCCGGGCUGAGGAAAGUCCGCACUCCACAGGGUACGACGCUGGUGAACAGCCAGGGUGGGGCGACCUGCCGGAACAGUGCAACAGAGAGGCGUACUGCCUAAGCGAGGGGCGACCCUCGCCGGUGAGGGUGAAACGGUGGUGUAAGAGACCACCAGCGCGGUCAGCGAUGAUCGCGGCUGGGCAAACCCCGUCGGGAGCAAGGUCAAGCAGGCGCAGUGGGGCGGCCCGUCCCGCGCCGGGUAGACUGCAUGACGCCCGCAGCAAUGCGGGCGCAAGAGAGAUGAUCGCCGGGCGAGCUUCGGCUCGUCUACAGAAUGCGGCUUAUAGGUGGGCUUGAACA